rnacentral:rRNA from 1 species
GACAGAGGGUGCAAACGUUGUUCGGAAUUACUGGGCGUAAAGCGCGUGUAGGCGGCUUGGCAAGUCGGGUGUGAAAGCCCUGGGCUCAACCUAGGAAGUGCACUCGAAACUGCUUCGCUUGAGUGCCGGAGAGGAAAGCGGAAUUCUCGGUGUAGAGGUGAAAAUUCGUAGAUAUCGAGAGGAACAUCGGUGGCGAAGGCGGCUUUCUGGACGGUAACUGACGCUGAGACGCGAAAGCGUGGGGAGCAAACAGG